CUUCAGCAGGAACAGCGGUUGAAUCGAGUGACAGUCGCUUACAGCAGGGAGAGGAGGUCAAAAUCGUCAUGCAGGAUGAUCGAGCUGAUUCUACAUAAUACCUGCUCGACAUUUUUUCUGAAUAUAUUUUCUCAGAUUGGAAUCAUGUAAUUCUACUAACUGUUACGAUGCAUGCAAUUACAUCAAGUCAAAGGGUCAAUGAACGAGGCGGUAAUGACAUCAAGACUGUGAAUGAGAGAUAAUGGGAACUGCAGAUGCUGGAGAAUCCAAGGAAAAAAAGUAUUGAAAGUGCCAUUAAUUUUUUGCAUGGCGAGCUGCUGAAUAUUAACCAGUCUCAUACCAUUGCCAUCACCUUGCCCUUGUGAAGGCAGAUAUGGAUAAAGUUCUCAAAGCUGAUAGAAAGUUGAAAGCACUCGCAUCCUGUGGAGAUGAACCAUACGAUUACACUAAUUUUGUUGAGGAAUUUAAAGAUUACGAGUCCCGUCCGUUUGACUCGUAGUUUGGGACCAUAGGUUGGUACGAUCUUCGUUCGAGAAGGAAAAGGGAUGUUCCAGAUACAGAAAAUCGUCAACCCAUUUAGUACAAAGUCUGUUUCUGAUCCAUGAGCAGAAAGAAUGUAUCGUGUUUGCCACCAAACAAAUUGUGCCAAUGGGUUUCAUGCAGCCAGCAUCAGCCACUCCAUAUGAUUUCUAUAAUCCAAUCCCACGCUGAGUAUUGUUAUCCCGAUAGUUCUUUCAUCUCAGUCCGUGUGUAUUCCUGGGCGAAUGUGCUCGUGUGGUCUCAGGAGUUGCGGAGGUCACGGCUCUGGGACAGCCGUUUCAUCGCCCUAUGCUGCAGGGAAAAAGCAAUGAAAGUGCCGUUAAUUUUUUGCAUGGCGAGCUGCUGAAUACUAACCGGUCUCGCACCAUUGCCAUCACCUUGCCCUUGUGAAGGCAGACAUGGAUAAAGUUCUCAAAGCUGAUAGAACAUUGAAAGCACUCGCAUCCUGUGACGAUGCUUCCGCUUGGAAGAAAGAUUCACAUCAAAUUGACUGGUCAAGGAAAUGGGACACUGACUUAAUUGCAUGACAGUUUGACUGGUUCGUUGAGAGUGAGGAACCUAUGGACUCUCAUACACCAAGAUGGAAUUUAGUUCGAAGACUGACUUCAAAAUAGUUGCUUGCUUUUAAAAUCUUGACCGUUUUUGCUGUCCAGUUGAAUGAAUUUAGCUUCAUACUGCUUCAAUAGGAAUUAGUGUUUAAUAGGAACAUAUUUGUGAAACUUACAGUUCCAUAAGUUUUAGCAUAAACUGGUGCAGUCUUUCGGUGCUUGCAAAAAGGCUCACCUCUCCGUUAAUACCGAAGGAAAAUUGGAGUUUAAAAGUAAGUUCACCCGCUGUCAGGGAAUGAAAUGUUAAU